rnacentral:snRNA from 1 species
AGCUUUGCACAGUGGCAGUAUUGUAGCCAAUGAGGUUUAUCCGAGGUGCAAUUAUUGCUAAUUUAAAUCUUUUCCCAAAAGAUACCACAGUCACAGAAAGAGAAAGCUAUGAUCCUAAUCUCUUAUAAACAUUUAAGC